rnacentral:rRNA from 1 species
AAUAGCCUAACGGCUGAACCAGCAACUUGGAGGAAUGAAUAGCAAUAGCUAAUUACACAUACAUAUGAUGUAAUAUCGACUCCGUCGAAUAAAAUUCUGGCUAGAAUUAUGAUAAUGACAUUAUCUAGCUAUGUGUCUUGACUAAAUUACGUGCCAGCAGUCGCGGUAAUACGUAGAAGACUAGUGUUAUUCAUCUUUAAUAGGUUUAAAGGGUACCCAGACGGUAAAUCAAGCCUUAGACGGAACUAAUUUGCUAGAGUUACUUACGCGGGGGCUAUGAAGUACUAAUGGUGUAGAGAUAAAAUUUUGUAAUACCAUUUUUCGAAAGAAAAGUUAUGGCACUGGUAAAGGCGAAAGCAUCCCCUUAUGUGAUAACUGACGUUGAAGGACGAAGGCUUUGGGUCGCAAAUAGGAUUAGAUACCCUAGUAGUCAAAGGAGAAAAUUAUGAGUGUCAUAGAUUAGAAAUUAAGUUUUAUUCUAUAAAUGAAAGUGUAAGCACUCCACCUCAAGAGUAAUUUGGCAACAUUGGAACUGAAAUCAUUAGACCGUUUCUGAAACCAGUAGUGAAGUAUGUUGUUUAAUUUGAUGAUCCGCAAAAAACCUUACCACAGCUUGAAUAUUUAUAUUUUUCAUAUAUUUACAAGCGUUGCACGGCUGUCUUCAGUUAAUGUCGUGAGACUUUGGUUAGAUCCAUUAAAUUAACGUAAGCCCUUACUUUAUUUAUAAAUAAAGUCGUUCCCCACUAUAUUGGAUAUGAUAACAGGGACUAAGACAAGUCUUCAUGGCCUGAAUGCUGU